rnacentral:lncRNA from 1 species
GAGAACCUCACAAUCUAGUUAGGGAUGGUGACAGCUGAGCCAGAGCUGUGCAGUGAGGCAGAGUACAAUGUGUGUCACGAAGGAGUUACAACAUCUCAGCAGCGAGAAGGAAAAUGGAAUUCUGAUUGGUGGGAGUGCCAUGGACCAAGCUUUGUGGAGGAGAUAACUGAAGAGAAGGCUGGAGUCUUGCCUGCAGGUUGAACCCGCUGGAAGGAGGGAUGAGGAGAACGAAGAAGGUUCCAGCCAUGUGCAGUGAAUGCAGAGGGGAGGGUGCUGUCAAGAGACUCGCCUGGGAAAGGCGGGGAACCAGGGGUGUGCUCCAGAGAAGAAGCCAAGUAAUUAGCAUGGCAGAAGGGGACUGCCACUGUGUUUGGCACAGCCAUGGUUGGUCCUCAGAGAACACGUUCAGUUGUGUGUGAUGCAAUGACCGAAGUAACCAUAAGGAUGCAGAUGCUGCUUUCUGAGGCCCAGCCAACAGUCACCGUGAGGCUGAGUGGCAAGGACCAGAACCCUGAAACUGAGGGCGUUUCUCACUAUACAUUCCCCUCUCCUCCCAGCUUUCCAAACCCUCACCAUCUGACUUUGUACCUCUUUCAAGUGAAACAGGUUGCAUAUUGCUGAGCUGACAGAGGCUCCCUACCCAGACUAAUAGAGCCCGCCACACGGAAGUAAUUUCUUGUUAAACUUCUAUCCAGUGAAAUCCAACCACUGCACACAGCAGGCCCGGCUGUGCUGGUACUGCCAGCCUGCCACCGAGGCGCAAGGGAAUAAAGGAAAAUGCUUAGCAUUAAAUUUCAUGUAAAUCAGACUUUAUUUGCUCUGGUGACAGGUUAUUACCUUCUGCAGGGAACGAGGGGAGAAAUGGCUGCCACUGAAGACAGAGUUCCCCCAGUGAGCCUCUGUAGCAGCCUCCUGCAGCAGGCAUGCCUAACUCACCUGUUUUGCCCCACCCAUCCUCUCUGCUAGCUUCUCUGUAAAUGGCCAGGGUCUACAGGCUCUUCUUGGCAUAGUAGCCCUGCCUAUGCAGCCUUCCUGAUGCUUCAGAGAUGGUCACUAUUUGUGUGGACUUCCCCACUAAGGACAUUGGGCACUCUUCGCCUUGCUUUGUGGCUCAGUCUAUCUCCCACCAAGAACAUUCUAUAUAGCAAUAAACUUAUUAAGACUCAGCUCA